GUGCUCUCUUCGGCAGCACAUACACUAAAAUUGGAACAAUACAGAGAUGAUUAGCAGGGCACAAGGAUGACAUGCAAAUUCUAAAGCAUUUCAUCUUUUGU
rnacentral:snRNA from 1 species